CCGAAUGCUUGCAUUCACCGUAAGAAGUUGAGUGGCGGACGGGUGAGUAACACGUGGGUAACCUGCCUAAAAGAAGGGGAUAACACUUGGAAACAGGUGCUAAUACCGUAUAUCUCUAAGGAUCGCAUGAUCCUUAGAUGAAAGAUGGUUCUGCUAUCGCUUUUAGAUGGACCCGCGGCGUAUUAACUAGUUGGUGGGGUAACGGCCUACCAAGGUGAUGAUACGUAGCCGAACUGAGAGGUUGAUCGGCCACAUUGGGACUGAGACACGGCCCAAACUCCUACGGGAGGCAGCAGUAGGGAAUCUUCCACAAUGGACGCAAGUCUGAUGGAGCAACGCCGCGUGAGUGAAGAAGGUCUUCGGAUCGGAAAAAUCUGUUGUUAGAGAAGAACACGAGUGAGAGUAACUGUUCAUUCGAUGACGGUAUCUAACCAGCAAGUCACGGCUAACUACGUGCCAGCAGCCGCGGUAAUACGUAGGUGGCAAGCGUUGUCCGGAUUUAUUGGGCGUAAAGGGAACGCAGGCGGUCUUUUAAGUCUGAUGUGAAAGCCUUCGGCUUAACCGGAGUAGUGCAUUGGAAACUGGAAGACUUGAGUGCAGAAGAGGAGAGUGGAACUCCAUGUGUAGCGGUGAAAUGCGUAGAUAUAUGGAAGAACACCAGUGGCGAAAGCGGCUCUCUGGUCUGUAACUGACGCUGAGGUUCGAAAGCGUGGGUAGCAAACAGGAUUAGAUACCCUGGUAGUCCACGCCGUAAACGAUGAAUGCUAGGUGUUGGAGGGUUUCCGCCCUUCAGUGCCGCAGCUAACGCAAUAAGCAUUCCGCCUGGGGAGUACGACCGCAAGGUUGAAACUCAAAGGAAUUGACGGGGGGCCCGCACAAGCGGUGGAGCAUGUGGUUUAAUUCGAAGCAACGCGAAGAACCUUACCAGGUCUUGACAUCCUUUGACCACCUAAAAAGAUUAAGGCUUUCCCUUUCGGGGACAAAAGUGACAAGGUGGGUGCAUGGGCUGUCGUCAGCUCGUGUCGUGAGAUGUUGGGUUAAGUCCCGCAACGAGCGCAACCCUUGUUGUCAGUUGCCAGCAUUAAGUUGGGCACUCUGGCGAGACUGCCGGUGACAAACCGGAGGAAGGUGGGGACGACGUCAAGUCAUCAUGCCCCUUAUGACCUGGGCUACACACGUGCUACAAUGGACGGUACAACGAGUUGCAAGACCGCGAGGUUUAGCUAAUCUCUUAAAGCCGUUCUCAGUUCGGAUUGUAGGCUGCAACUCGCCUACAUGAAGUCGGAAUCGCUAGUAAUCGCGAAUCAGCAUGUCGCGGUGAAUACGUUCCCGGGCCUUGUACACACCGCCCGUCACACCAUGAGAGUUUGUAACACCCA
rnacentral:rRNA from 2 species